CUGAUAUUAGUACCUAAAAUUUUCAGCCUGUGAAUAGCUGUGGAAAUUUGGGACUUCCUUUUUUUGAAGAUAUAAAUAGAUCUAAGCUAUAUUUAGACUAAAGUUUUUUUCAGUAUAACAGCAUGUAGAGAACCCUUACAUACAGUCAAAUAUUCUUGAUAGUGCAAGGAAAUAUAAUGCAUUUUUCAAGUGCUUGCUGUUUCUUAUGUUGUGCAUACUUGAUAUAGGUCAUUGUCAAUGUCAACUAUCAUUAUACUGACAUUUGAAGUUGUUGUUUUUUUUUCUAAAUUACCUCCCUUAUAUAUGCAUUUUUCUUUAUUCAUUUUAUUGAUAAUUACUUCCCUUUAUGUUUAGCAAAAAUUCUCAGAUUGCAUUUAAUUAACUCCCUUUAUUUAACAUGAAAAAUUCUCUUGUGUAAUGAUUAUUUGUAUAUUUUACUUACAGUGUCUGAUACAUGUAGUUGCAUUCUGUCUUUGGAAGCUGUAGAAAUAACAAGAAAGAGGCUGACAUAGUGUUUUGGUAGGGAAAAGUUUGAGUAUGUACAUGUACAGUUGUUUGACCUGUCUUACCCUGUGGCAGUCCAAGAAGAUGUUACCAUUAUGAAAAAUGCAGGAGAACUUGAAGACAAUGGUUAGUGCAGAAGGGACAUAAAAGUUAUGACAAAAUUAACAGAUAUAAAUAAGAAGUGCUACAAGUGUGUUGUCGUGUGAAAUGGAAUUUACCCCAACUGUGCUGCAGGAUGUAUAUUCAAAUGCAAGACAGCCAUGCACAAGCUGUAAACUGAGAUGGACCCAUAUAAUAAAUAUAUUGACUUUUCUAUUUAUUAUCAUCUAUACAGAAUGUGUUCAUGACAAGACUGUAUACAUAUAUUGUUAAAUCAUUUUUUAUUUCCAUUAUUGCAUGCAUGUAAGAAGCAAGCAUUUAACAAUUGCAUUCAUAGAAGUGUUAAAAUGUGAUCAAUCUAAUUUAAAGAAACACAUUUAAUUGGACUUUUAAAGUUUCAUAGUAUUUGUGGUGGAGACUGACCCAGUCAUUCAGCAAUUUAUACUGUCUGUGUGUCAUUUCUUGUAUGUUAUAGUUUUCUUAAUAAUAUAUUAAAUGUAAAAGUUAUGGUAAGAUGAACUCAUUCAUCACUUGUAGAUUAAUGUUAAAGCAGUUCAACAUUUUACCAUAAGUUAACUCAUAUUCUAUUUAACCAGAUUUGUCACAUAUUUUCAUAUAAAUAUUUGUAUAAUACAGUCUAAUCUAAUCUACAUAUGAUGUUCCGCAAUUUUCAGUUAUAUUUUAUGUUGAUAUUUUAUGUUGUUUUCAUGUCUCAACAUAUAAUUACUAACAUCAAAGAAACUUAAGUAUUUUACAAUUUGGUUGGUAUAAAUGGUUGUUUUGUUUAUAUAUUUUAUUUUUUUUCCAUCCAGGAGAAUAAAGAAAUAUACAUUUCAAAAUAUCUCAUCAUUCCAGAUAAGUACACUGCAUAAUCAAGAUAAAAGAAAUAAGAACAAAAUAUGUUGGUGGAAUUUUAUUUUCAAAAAUUUGAUAUACAGUCUUUGUAGUAUUUACUUCUUUAGAUAUGUUGGACUGAAAUGGGAAUAACAACAUACUUUAAAUUUUUGUAGUCAUAAGUUAAUAUGGAAAUUAUUAACUUAACUUAAAAAGAUUUUAUCUCACUGUUAUGCCAUCUGAGCUUUAAUAUUUUUCAACAUUGUCAUUGGCAACAAGGCUCAAAAUUAUUUGUUGUGUAUACCUUGCAUUCAUGUGUGAUAAAUGCAUUUAUGGUAUUCUUUAAUAUAAUUUAUGCUUUUCAUCUUACCAUGGAUUAAAAAAAUAUAAAUUUAUUUGUCUGAAAAUUAAGGUAAAAAUACUGACUGAUUAAAUUGCAAUAUAAGAAAGCUUAUUUGAGAUAAAGGGAGGUAAUUCCAUAAAAAAUA